AUUGAACGCUGGCGGCAGGCUUAACACAUGCAAGUCGAGCGAGCGGCGGACGGGUGAGUAAUGUCUGGGAAACUGCCUGAUGGAGGGGGAUAACUACUGGAAACGGUAGCUAAUACCGCAUACCAUCAGAUGUGCCCAGAUGGGAUUAGCUAGUAGGUGGGGUAAUGGCUCACCUAGGCGACGAUCCCUAGCUGGUCUGAGAGGAUGACCGGCCACAUGGAAACGGGGACACGGUCCAGACUCCUACGGGAGGAAGCAGUGGGGAAUAUUGCACAAUGGGCGCAAGCCUGAUGCAGCCAUGCCGCGUGUAGGAAGAAGGCCUUCGGGUUGUAAAGUACUUUCAGCGAGGAGGCGUUACUCGAAGAAGAAGCACCGGCUAACUACGUGCCAGCAGCCGCGGUAAUAC
rnacentral:rRNA from 1 species